AUUGAACGCUGGCGGCAGGCCUAACACAUGCAAGUCGAACGAGUGGCGGACGGGUGAGUAAUGUCUGGGAAACUGCCUGAUGGAGGGGGAUAACUAAUGGAAAAGGUAGCUAAUACCGCAUACCAGCGGAUGUGCCCAGAGGGGAUUAGCUAGUAGGUGGGGUAAAGGCAUACCUAGGCUACGAUCCCUAGCUGGUCUGAGAGGAUGACCAGCCACACGGGAACUGAGACACGGUCCAGACUCCUACGGGAGGCAGCAGUGGGGAAUAUUGCACAAUGGGCGAAAGCCUGAUGCAGCCAUGCCGCGUGUAUGAAGAAGGCCUUCGGGUUGUAAAGUACUUUCAGCGGGGAGGCGUUACCCGCAGAAGAAGCACCGGCUAACUCCGUGCCAGCAGCCGCGGUAAUAC
rnacentral:rRNA from 1 species